rnacentral:tRNA from 1 species
GCUUCCAUGGCGCAAUCGGUUAGCGGGUUCGGCUGUUAACCGAAAGGUUGGUGGUUCAAGCUAACCCGGGAGCG